AUGUCUNAGUAUAAGCAAUUAUACAGCGAAACUGCGAAUGGCUCAUUAUAUAAGUUAUCGUUUAUUUGAUAGUGCCUUACUACUUGGAUAACCGUGGUAAUUCUAGAGCUAAUACAUGCUACAAGCCCUGACUUCGGAAGGGGCGUAUUUAUUAGAUUAAAAACCAAUGCCCUCUGGGCUCCUUGGUGAAUCAUGAUAACUUCACGAAUCGCACGGCCUUGCGCCGGCGAUGGCUCAUUCAAAUUUCUUCCCUAUCAACUUUCGAUGUUUGGGUAGUGGCCAAACAUGGUUGCAACGGGUAACGGAGGGUUAGGGCUCGACCCCGGAGAAGGAGCCUGAGAAACGGCUACUACAUCCAAGGAAGGCAGCAGGCGCGCAAAUUACCCAAUCCCGAUUCGGGGAGGUAGUGACAAUAAAUACUGAUACAGGGCUCUUUCGGGUCUUGUAAUCGGAAUGAGUACAAUUUAAAUCCCUUAACGAGGAACAAUUGGAGGGCAAGUCUGGUGCCAGCAGCCGCGGUAAUUCCAGCUCCAAUAGCGUAUAUUAAAGUUGUUGUGGUUAAAAAGCUCGUAGUUGAACCUUGGGCCUGGCUGGCCGGUCCGCCUCACCGCGUGUACUGGUCCGGCCGGGCCUUUCCCUCUGUGGAACCUCAUGCCCUUCACUGGGUGUGCUGGGGAAACAGGACUUUUACUUUGAAAAAAUUAGAGUGCUCCAGGCAGGCCUAUGCUCGAAUACAUUAGCAUGGAAUAAUAAAAUAGGACGUGCGGUUCUAUUUUGUUGGUUUCUAGGACCGCCGUAAUGAUUAAUAGGGACAGUCGGGGGCAUCAGUAUUCAAUUGUCAGAGGUGAAAUUCUUGGAUUUAUUGAAGACUAACUACUGCGAAAGCAUUUGCCAAGGAUGUUUUCAUUAAUCAGGAACGAAAGUUAGGGGAUCGAAAACGAUCAGAUACCGUUGUAGUCUUAACCAUAAACUAUGCCGACUAGGGAUCGGACGAUGUUAUUUUUUGACUCGUUCGGCACCUUACGA
rnacentral:rRNA from 1 species